rnacentral:tRNA from 1 species
GGGGUUGUAACUCAGUGGUAGAGUGUUUGCUUUGCAUGCGAAAAGUCCGGAGUUCAAUCCUCCGCAGCUCCA